GAGUAGGGCGGGACACGUGGUAUCCUGUCUGAAUAUGGGGGGACCAUCCUCCAAGGCUAAAUACUCCUGACUGACCGAUAGUGAACCAGUACCGUGAGGGAAAGGCGAAAAGAACCCCGGCGAGGGGAGUGAAAAAGAACCUGAAACCGUGUACGUACAAGCAGUGGGAGCACCUUCGGGUGUGACUGCGUACCUUUUGUAUAAUGGGUCAGCGACUUAUAUUCUGUAGCAAGGUUAACCGUAUAGGGGAGCCGCAGGGAAACCGAGUCUUAACUGGGCGUUAAGUUGCAGGGUAUAGACCCGAAACCCGGUGAUCUAGCCAUGGGCAGGUUGAAGGUUGGGUAACACUAACUGGAGGACCGAACCGACUAAUGUUGAAAAAUUAGCGGAUGACUUGUGGCUGGGGGUGAAAGGCCAAUCAAACCGGGAGAUAGCUGGUUCUCCCCGAAAGCUAUUUAGGUAGCGCCUCGUGAACUCAUCUUCGGGGGUAGAGCACUGUUUCGGCUAGGGGGUCAUCCCGACUUACCAACCCGAUGCAAACUACGAAUACCGAAGAAUGUUAUCACGGGAGACACACGGCGGGUGCUAACGUCCGUCGUGAAGAGGGAAACAACCCAGACCGCCAGCUAAGGUCCCAAAGUCAUGGUUAAGUGGGAAACGAUGUGGGAAGGCACAGACAGCCAGGAUGUUGGCUUAGAAGCAGCCAUCAUUUAAAGAAAGCGUAAUAGCUCACUGGUCGAGUCGGCCUGCGCGGAAGAUGUAACGGGGCUAAACCAUGCACCGAAGCUGCGGCAGCGACACUAUGUGUUGUUGGGUAGGGGAGCGUUCUGUAAGCCUGCGAAGGUGWSCUGUGAGGSWUGCUGGAGGUAUCAGAAGUGCGAAUGCUGACAUAAGUAACGAUAAAGCGGGUGAAAAGCCCGCUCGCCGGAAGACCAAGGGUUCCUGUCCAACGUUAAUCGGGGCAGGGUGAGUCGACCCCUAAGGCGAGGCCGAAAGGCGUAGUCGAUGGGAAACAGGUUAAUAUUCCUGUACUUGGUGUUACUGCGAAGGGGGGACGGAGAAGGCUAUGUUAGCCGGGCGACGGUUGUCCCGGUUUAAGCAUGUAGGCUGRUUGUCCAGGCAAAUCCGGAUAAUCAAGGCUGAGGUGUGAUGACGAGGCACUACGGUGCUGAAGUAACAAAUGCCCUGCUUCCAGGAAAAGCCUCUAAGCAUCAGGUAACAUYAAAUCGUACCCCAAACCGACACAGGUGGUCAGGUAGAGAAUACCAAGGCGCUUGAGAGAACUCGGGUGAAGGAACUAGGCAAAAUGGUGCCGUAACUUCGGGAGAAGGCACGCUGGUGUGUAGGUGAAGUCCCUGCGGAUGGAGCUGAGACCAGUCGAAGAUACCAGCUGGCUGCAACUGUUUAUUAAAAACACAGCACUGUGCAAACACGAAAGUGGACGUAUACGGUGUGACGCCUGCCCGGUGCCGGAAGGUUAAUUGAUGGGGUUAUCCGUAAGGAGAAGCUCUUGAUCGAAGCCCCGGUAAACGGCGGCCGUAACUAUAACGGUCCUAAGGUAGCGAAAUUCCUUGUCGGGUAAGUUCCGACCUGCACGAAUGGCGUAAUGAUGGCCAGGCUGUCUCCACCCGAGACUCAGUGAAAUUGAACUCGCUGUGAAGAUGCAGUGUACCCGCGGCAAGACGGAAAGACCCCGUGAACCUUUACUAUAGCUUGACACUGAACAUUGAGCCUUGAUGUGUAGGAUAGGUGGGAGGCUUUGAAGCGUGGACGCCAGUCUGCGUGGAGCCAACCUUGAAAUACCACCCUUUAAUGUUUGAUGUUCUAACGUUGGCCCCUGACCGGGGUUGCGGACAGUGUCUGGUGGGUAGUUUGACUGGGGCGGUCUCCUCCCAAAGCGUAACGGAGGAGCACGAAGGUUAGCUAAUCCUGGUCGGACAUCAGGAGGUUAGUGCAAUGGCAUAAGCUAGCUUGACUGCGAGCGUGACGGCGCGAGCAGGUGCGAAAGCAGGUCAUAGUGAUCCGGUGGUUCUGAAUGGAAGGGCCAUCGCUCAACGGAUAAAAGGUACUCCGGGGAUAACAGGCUGAUACCGCCCAAGAGUUCAUAUCGACGGCGGUGUUUGGCACCUCGAUGUCGGCUCAUCACAUCCUGGGGCUGAAGUAGGUCCCAAGGGUAUGGCUGUUCGCCAUUUAAAGUGGUACGCGAGCUGGGUUUAGAACGUCGUGAGACAGUUCGGUCCCUAUCUGCCGUGGGCGCUGGAGAAUUGAGGGGGGCUGCUCCUAGUACGAGAGGACCGGAGUGGACGCAUCACUGGUGUUCGGGUUGUCAUGCCAAUGGCACUGCCCGGUAGCUAAAUGCGGAAGAGAUAAGUGCUGAAAGCAUCUAAGCACGAAACUUGCCCCGAGAUGAGUUCUCCCUGAGACUUUAAGUCUCCUGAAGGAACGUUGAAGACGACGACGUUGAUAGGCCGGGUGUGUAAGCGCAGCGAUGCGUUGAGCUAACCGGUACUAAUGAACCGUGAGGCUUAACCU
rnacentral:rRNA from 1 species